rnacentral:rRNA from 1 species
GAUGAACGCUGGCGGCGUGCCUAAUACAUGCAAGUCGAGCGAACGGACGAGAAGCUUGCUUCUCUGAUGUUAGCGGCGGACGGGUGAGUAACACGUGGAUAACCUACCUAUAAGACUGGGAUAACUUCGGGAAACCGGAGCUAAUACCGGAUGAUAUUUUGAACCGCAUGGUUCAAAAGUGAAAGACGGUCUUGCUGCCACUUAUAGAUGGAUCCGCGCUGCAUUAGCUAGUUGGUAAGGUAACGGCUUACCAAGGCAACGAUGCAUAGCCGACCUGAGAGGGUGAUCGGCCACACUGGAACUGAGACACGGUCCAGACUCCUACGGGAGGCAGCAGUAGGGAAUCUUCCGCAAUGGGCGAAAGCCUGACGGGGCAACGCCGCGUGAGUGAUGAAGGUCUUCGGAUCGUAAAACUCUGUUAUUAGGGAAGAACAUAUGUGUAAGUAACUGUGCACAUCUUGACGGUACCUAAUCAGAAAGCCACGGCUAACUACGUG